rnacentral:miRNA from 1 species
CGCUGGGUCCGUGCGCCCCGGGCCCGGCGAUGUCCGCUUGGGGGAGCGAGGGGCGGGGCG